GCAAAAAGCUCCGCAACAAGAUAGCAGGUUAUGUCACGCAUCUGAUGAAGCGAAUUCAGAGAGGCCCAGUAAGAGGUAUCUCCAUCAAGCUGCAGGAGGAGGAGAGAGAAAGGAGAGACAAUUAUGUUCCUGAGGUCUCAGCCUUGGAUCAGGAGAUUAUUGAAGUAGAUCCUGACACUAAGGAAAUGCUGAAGCUUUUGACCAAGGAAUUCAUCUUCUUGGAGCUGCUAUCCAACCUGUACUCGCAUGGGGACCAGAACACGCUGAUGGAGGAGUCUGCAGAGCAGGUACAGCGGGGCGAUGAGAUGCUGU
ensembl:lncRNA novel transcript